ensembl:lincRNA
CCAAUCCACCCUAUUAACACAGGCCCCGUGAGGGGGAGAAAACUGCAGCCACAGACCCAGCCCCGGGCUGCGAUCAUCGAUGGGACUGAAAAGCCUGCACAGGAUUGAGCCCAAGGAGUAGCUUUCCCAUUUGAGGUUUUAGCUUGAGAUUCCCGAAGAACCCAAACCAGCCUUCCUUCCCUGGCUGACCCUGCUGAAUAAACUAGAAGCCACUUUCCAUUCAUCCAUUUGAGGCUAUGGAAAAAUUAUCCUCAUCUGGCUCUUCAUUGCAUAUGCUCAGCUACACCGUGUGUAGAUUAAGAGGCAGCCCGGUCCCAGCGAUCCUGGUGAGUAGCUGGAGAUCUGCUCUUCCUUUCUACAGAGGAGUUCUCCAGUCCACCCACUGGAAGUGAACUCCCGUAUCAAGACGGUGCCAGGGCUGGGACCUGAGCCUGGGCCCUGGACUCCUUCUCCUGUGCAUUUGCUGUCUUUAAACACACGGAUACUGAGGGGCUUCGGAUCAGUCCCAUCUGUACAAGCUGCUCGGGGGAGCAGGAGGCGGUGUUAUCUGUCCCGGCCUGUUCCAUUCGGCUGAGCAGAUUACUAUCUGACUCCAGAGCUGCCUGCACUGCACCGCCCUGCUGGAAAUGAUGAAACCUCAGUGACUUCAGCAGCAGAGGGGGUUCCCGCUGGGGCUGCGGGGUGAUGCUUCCCUCAGGACCUCGCUGAAACACAGGCUGGACUCAGACCUUGCCCAUGGCCCACAAGGUGCCCGAGAGGACCCCACUGGCAGCCCUCUCUCUGGUUCCUCACAGACCUCUGCCUGCUGCUCCUGAAAGAGGCUGAACCCCGCUUCCACCGGCAGCUGCGCAGUCAGAGGCUCAGCAUGUUGGCAAGAGCAAUGGAGCUCUGGCACGGCCUAGCCAUCGCAGCAGUGUCCCUCCUCCUCCAGGCCUGCCUCCUCGCUGUGACUGGUUACCUGCUCAGCCGGCACAUAGCCAGGCAGAGUGAACAGAUGCUCAAAGACGUCAGGCUGCAGGCCCAGGGCUCUCGCCCUGCCCACCAGCCCCUGCCAGCUGCCAAGGAGACCACGGAGACCUGGACGGAGAGAAGCACCCCGGCAUCCGUACCCCGAUACAAGGGUGAGAGUGACACAUCCUCGGACAGCUCGGACAGCUCGGAUGGCAGGGACAGCUCACCUCCCACCUGCCAGGUCAGCAAGGGUGUGAAUUACACGCAAGUGGUCUUCUCGACCCCUGGAGGUCUAAGCAGGGGAUCUGCCCUGGACUAUGAGAACAUGAAGGACACCACAGACUAUGUCAAUGUCAACCCAAAAAGCCCCAAGCCUAAUUCCUGGACUUUUUCAAACCCUGCCGUCUCUGAGCCGGUGGAGUACACUCAAGUGGUUAUAUGAAUUCUAGGUUUUUUUUUUAAAAAAAAUAAGGUACAAUUCUCUAUUGAUUCUUGCAUAAUAAUUCCUUUAAACUAAAAAAAAUAUGUAUAGGGGAAAAAAAGGUCUGGGCCCCAACAAGAAGGCUCCAGACCAGAUGUUAGGAAGAACUCGCAAGCAAGGUUUGAAAACCUUGGCAACUACAGGAGAGAAAAGGGGGAGGUCUUUAUAAAAGUUUUAAUCAGCGCCAGUGAAGUUCCCUUUGGUGAUCUUAAGGUUAAAUGACUUCUUUUUGAGUUCUUUAAUUAUUUGCAAUAAAUACUUUUCUUAACGUUUUUAAGUAGAGUUGCAGUACUGGUUCCUCUUCUCCUCUUGCCUAAUCCUGCAUGUUGGCCCUUUUAUCAGUGAUGAAUUUUUGCUGAAUAAUCCUGCUUUGCCUUCAGAACUUCAGAUAACUCACUUACAAAGCCUAUCACCAAUCUGUCUUUGAGGUGGUGAUUUUUUUUUUUUUAUAAACAAAAAUGACAAAGAGAAUCCUAGUCAGUAUCAGCUGGCAUCACAAUCGGUUAUUCCAAGGAAAAUAUUUCAAAUUUUAAUACAAC